CCUACGGGGGGCAGCAGUGGGGAAUUUUCGUCAAUGGGCGUAAGCCUGAACCAGCCAUGUCGCGUGCACGAGGAAGGCCCUCGGAUUUUUAAGCUCCGUUUAUGGGGAAAAAGAGCGGAGAGAGGAAAUGGUUUUCGAUUUAUAUUACCAUUCGAGGCAGUCUCGGUUAACUACGUGCCAGCAGCAGAGGUAAUACGUAGGUGGCGUGUGUAAUCGGGAGUGAUUGGGCGAAAAGGAUGCGCGGGUGGCCUGCUAAGUCUGUAGUGAAAGGUACCGGCUCAACCGGUACAGGCGCUGGAAACUGGCGGGCUAGAGAGCGUGAGAGGGAGGUGGAACUCGAUGUGUAGCGGUGAAAUGCGUAGAUAGAAGGAAGAACACCGAUGGCGAAGGCAGCCGCCUGGCGUGUUACUGACGCUGAGGCACGAAAGCGUGGGGAGCGAAUAGGAUUAGAUACCCCUGUAGUC
rnacentral:rRNA from 1 species